AAUGCAAAUUUCUCAAUGAUAUGAUUUGCUACUAGAGUUUAUGGAAUUCAAUGAUCUAACCUAAAUUGACUAACACUUACGUUGAAAUAUUAAACUCAAAGACUCAAUACACUUGAAACGCAGGUUUUGAUUUCAAUAGCUAGACUACUAAUGAUACAUACUGAAGUAUAAGGUCAUUUCAGAUGUGCAUUAAGCUUGUAUUUAACAUUGAUUUGAACACAACAGGCUGAUCUCAGAAUCAAUUUCAAAUCCACAUGAUUUUUUUAUUUUUUUAUAAAGUUAAACUAAAACAGGAAACUAAACUAUACUAAGGCUAGCAUCAUAGCUAAAUAAUCACAACUUUAAUAGUCCAAACAGUCAUGUCCAUGUUAAUUACAAUGAAAUAUACUAAAGAAAACAACAGAAAUCUGUAACAAAAAUAUGCUUCAACCUCAUUUCAUUUUUAGCUUGAGAUCUACAUCGUAAUGAACUCAGGAAGUGUACCCGGAGGGUACAAUAGUGAAGAAGAGAAGUUAGUAGCAGAAAAAAGAAAGUCACAGUAGCAAGGGAAUAAUUUGGACCGCAAAAUAAUGUCACUAAAUCCCAUAAACAAAUGGUAAACGAACAACACCAAUAAAACACUCAGAACAGCCCCGAUUUAAUCUAAACUCACUCAAACUAACCCAGAAAGCUUUUGAAAAACAUCAGCAGUCAAACACACAAUUUCAAGUCAUUUUCCUCUUUAAUCUAAUCUAGACACUUGAAUCUACAGAUUAAACUUGAAGUUAAACUAGGAGCUUUAAUAAAGGUGAAUUUUUGGUAUUUUUGUGUUGUUUUUGGUUUUUUUGGAUGGUUUUUGAUCUAGAAUGAACUUUCCAACUCUAAUAAUUCAGAUUUGGUUUUUGAAUUUUAAAUUCAAAAUUUUCACAUUGUAAACUUGUAAAAACUGUUGGGGGGAAUUUUCA
rnacentral:lncRNA from 1 species